GACAGGCGUUCGGUUGUGAUAUUCACAGUUCUGACCGAGAGAAACAGGAAGGAGAACGCUUCUGAAAGUGCCAUGUGUUCAAAGUGUCGUCCCACUGUUUUUCAGCAUGCAUCUAUUCUGAUAUAACCUACAUUUCCUGGGAAAGGAUCCUGGCCUCUUCUUCCCUGGAAUCACGAAGCUGUCACUGCAGUCUUCAAUGAAUCACACACAGCACGAGCAGUACGGCUGGUGGCAUUGUCAUGCUGGAGGGUCAUGUCAGGAUGAGCCUGGGGUACCACAUGAGGGAGGAGGAUGUCUUCCCUGUAACGCACAGUGUUGAGAUAGCCUGUAAUUACAACAAGCUCAGUUCGAUGAUGCUGUGACACACCGUCCCAGACCAUGACGGACCCUCCACCUCCAAAUCGAUCCCGCUCCAGAGUACAGGCCUCGGUGUAACGCUCAUUCCUUCGACGAUAAACGCGAAUUCGACCAUCGCCCAUGGAGAGACAAAACCGCGACUCGUCAGUGAAGAGCAUUUUUUGCCAGUCCUGUCUGGUCCAGCAACGAUUGGCGGUGAUGUCUGGUGAGGACCAGCCUUUACAACAGGCUUACAAGCCCUCAGUCCAGCCUCUCUCAGUCUGAGCAGUGAUGGAGGGAUUGUGCGUUCCUGGUGUUGUUGUCAUCUUGUACCUGUCCAGCAGGUGUGAUGUUCGGAUGUACCGAUCCUGUGCAGGUGUUGUUACACGUGGUCUGCAACUGCGAGGACGAUCAGUUGUCCGUCUUAUCACCCUGUAGCACUGUCUUAGGCGUCUCAUAGUAUGGACAUUACAUUUUAUUGCCCUGGCCACAUCUGCAGUCCUCAUGCCUCCUUGCAGCAUGCCUAAGACACGUUCACGCAGAUGUGCAGGGACUAUGUGCAUCUUUAUUUUGGUGUUUUCAGAGUCAGUAGAAAGGCCCCUUUAGUGUCCUAAGUUUUCAUAAUUGUGAUCUUAAUUGCCUACCGUCUGUAAGCUGUUAGUGUUUUAAACACCGUUCCACAAGUGCAUGUUUAUUAAUUGUUUAUGGGUCAUUGAACAAGCAUGGGAAACAGUGUUAAACCCUUUACAAUGAAGAUAUGUGAAGUUAUUUGUAUUUUUACGAAUUAUCGUUGAAAGACAGUGUCCUAGAAAAGGGACGUUUCUUUUUUUGCUGAGUUUAGUUUCAAUGUGGAUAGAUGGCAAACAGAAUAUUACUCUCCAUAUGUCUCUCCUCACUCUCUCUGUGUCUAUUAUUGUGUCUAGUCUAAUUCAUUAGUCCUCUCUGUCUCUUCUUGACUACUCUAAUUCAUUAGUCCUCUCUGUGUCCUCUCCUAUGCUUAGUCUAAUUCAUUAGUCCUCUCCGUGUCUCUUCUUGUGCUUUGUCUAAUUCAUUAGUCCUCUCUGUGUCUCUUCUUGUGCUUUGUCUAAUUCAUUAGUCCUCUCUGUGUCCUCUCCUAUGCUUAGUCUAAUUCAUUAGUCCUCUCUGUCUCUUCUUGACUACUCUAAUUCAUUAGUCCUCUCUGUGUCCUCUCCUAUGCUUUGUCUAAUUCAUUAGUCCUCUC
ensembl:lncRNA